rnacentral:rRNA from 1 species
UGGGGAAUAUUGCGCAAUGGGCGAAAGCCUGACGCAGCGACGCCGCGUGGAGGAUGAAGGUCUUCGGAUCGUAAACUUCUGUUAAGUGGGAAGAAAAGUUUGCGUUUAAUAGACGCAGAAAAUGACGGUACCAUUAGAGAAAGCACCGGCUAACUUCGUGCCAGCAGCCGCGGUAAUACGAAGGGUGCAAGCGUUAUUCGGAAUCAUUGGGCGUAAAGGGUGCGUAGACGGUGUGUUAAGUCCAUUGUUAAAUCUUCCGGCCUAACCGGAAAUCAGCAGUGGAUACUAGCGCGCUAGAGGUUGGAAGAGAGAAGUGGAAUUCUCGGAGUAGCGGUAAAAUGCGUAGAUCUCGAGAGGAACACCAAUGGCGAAGGCAGCUUCUUGGUCCACACCUGACGUUGAGGCACGAAAGCGUGGGGAGCAAACAGGAUUAGAUACCCCCGUAGUCC